rnacentral:rRNA from 1 species
UACGUAGGGUGCAAGCGUUGUCCGGAAUUAUUGGGCGUAAAGAGCUUGUAGGCGGUUUGUCGCGUCUGCUGUGAAAUUUCGGGGCUCAACCCCGAACUUGCAGUGGGUACGGGCAGACUAGAGUGUGGUAGGGGAGACUGGAAUUCCUGGUGUAGCGGUGAAAUGCGCAGAUAUCAGGAGGAACACCGAUGGCGAAGGCAGGUCUCUGGGCCAUAACUGACGCUGAGAAGCGAAAAGCAUGGGGAGCGAACGG